rnacentral:rRNA from 1 species
AUUAACCGCUAGCGGCAGGCAUAAUACAUGCAAGUUGAACGGCAGCACAGGUAGCAAUACUGGGUGGCGAGUGGCGCACGGGUGCGUAACACGUAUGCAACCUACCCUAUACAGGCGAAUAACCUUUAGAAAUGAGGGCUAAUACGCCGUAGUAUUACAGAUGGGCAUCUAUUUGUAAUUAAAGAUUUAUCGGUAUAGGAUGGGCAUGCGUCCCAUUAGUUAGUUGGUAAGGUAACGGCUUACCAAGACGAUGAUGGGUAGGGG